rnacentral:rRNA from 1 species
AUUGAACGCUGGCGGCAGGCCUAACACAUGCAAGUCGAGCGGACGAAGGAAGCUUGCUCCUGGAUUCAGCUGCGGACGGGUGAGUAAUUCCCAGGAAUCUGCCCGGUAUAUGGGGCUAACGUCAGUUCACGGGCGCUAAUAUCGUAUACGUCAAUAGGUAGAAAGUGGUGGUUCUUUGGACAUCACCCUUUCAGCUGUCACUUGGUCGUAUUAGCUAGUUGGUUAGGUAAAGGCCUACCAAGGCGACGAUCCGUAACAGACCUGAGAGGGUGAUCAGACACACUGGAACUGAGACACGGUCCAGACUCCUACGGGAGGCAGCAGUAGGGAAUAUUCGGCAAUGGGCGAAAGCCUGAUGGAGCAAUGCCGCGUGUGUGAAGAAGGUCUUCGGAUUGUAAAGCACUGUUAUUUGGGAGGAACAAAAGUAAAUUUAACUCUUCCUGUUUUGACGUUACCAAAACAAAAAGCACCGGCUAACUUCGUG